GCGACGGUGGCGGAAUUGGUAGACGCGCUAGCUUCAGGUGUUAGUGUCUUAACGGACGUGGGGGUUCAAGUCCCCCCCCUCGCA
rnacentral:tRNA from 4 species